GAUGAACGCUGGCGGUAUGCUUAACACAUGCAAGUCGAACGGUCACUUCGGUGAUAGUGGCGGACGGGUGAGUAACGCGUGAGAAUCUGUCUUCAGGUCGGGGACAACAGUUAGAAAUGACUGCUAAUACCGGAUGUGCCUUUGGGUGAAAGAUUUAUUGCCUGAAAAAGAGCUCGCGUCAGAUUAGCUAGUAGGUGGUGUAAGAGACUACCUAGGCUCCGAUCUGUAGCUGGUCUGAGAGGACGAUCAGCCACACUGGAACUGAGACACGGUCCAGACUCCUACGGGAGGCAGCAGUGGGGAAUUUUCCGCAAUGGGCGAAAGCAUGACGGAGCAAUACCGCGUGAGGGACGAAGGCUUUUGGGUCGUAAACCUCUUUUCUCAAGGAAGAUGAUGACGGUACUUGAGGAAUAAGCAUCGGCUAACUCUGUG
rnacentral:rRNA from 1 species